rnacentral:rRNA from 1 species
AGCGAACGCUGGCGGCAGGCCUAACACAUGCAAGUCGAACGAACCUUUCGGGGUUAGUGGCGGACGGGUGAGUAACACGUGGGAACGUGCCUUUAGGUUCGGAAUAACUCAGGGAAACUUGUGCUAAUACCGAAUGUGCCCUUCGGGGGAAAGAUUAAUCGCCUUUAGAGCUGCCCGCGUCUGAUUAGCUAGUUGGUUGAGGUAAUGGCUCACCAAGGCGACGAUCAGUAGCUGGUCUGAGAGGAUGAUCAGCCACAUUGGGACUGAGACACGGCCCAAACUCCUACGGGAGGCAGCAGUGGUGAAUCUUGCGCAAUGGGCGAAAGCCUGACGCAGCCAUGCCGCGUGAAUGAUGAAGGUCUUAGGAUUGUAAAAUUCUUUCACCGGGGACGAUAAUGACGGUACCCGGAGAAGAAGCCCCGGCUAACUUCGUG